rnacentral:lncRNA from 1 species
UACCACACACUGGGUGGCUUAAAAACAGAGAUUUAUUUCUUCACAUUCUGGAAGCCAGAAGUCAGAGAUCAAGGUGUCAGCAAGGUUGGUUUCCUCUGAGCCUCUUCUGGGCUUGUAGAUGGCCAUCCUCACUGGGUCUUCUCUGUGUGUGUUUGUGUCCUAAUCUCUUUUUAUAAGGAGACCAGUCAGAUUGGUACCUUGAAAGCCUCAUGUUACCUUAGUUACCUCUUUAAAGAUCCUACCUUCAAACGGUCACAUUCUGAGGUCCUGAGGUUAGGGUUUCAACGUAUGAAUCUUGAAGGCAGGGGAUACAAUUCAGCCCACAAUGAGGACCUUCUCUAGACCUGUGUUCUCAUCUGUAACACAGAGAGCACACAAUGCCUACCUCAAGAGGCUGCCCUACUUCCUGAUAGAAUGUCGUCUAUUGUGACACCUGGCCCUGCCCUGGAAUGCCUGUUGGGCUGAUGGUGGAGACAGCCACCCUCUUUCUCUCCAAAGCUCUGGCCUGUGGGCAGGAUGCUCUGGAGAAUUCUCUGGGGUUCUUCACGUUGAGCGCAGCCACAACUCUGGGAGGGAGAUCUGUGUUAUCUUGCCCUAUGACAUGUUCAGGAAGAAAACAGUGGCUCACUGAAAUAAAAGGAAUGUGAGAGCCGGGAAGGAGCAGAGGGAGAGGGAGAGGGUAAGCAGACUCCCCGCUGAGCAUGGAGCUGGACUCAGGGCUGGAUCUCAGAAGCAGAACCUGAUCACAACCUGAGCAGAAACCAAGAGUUGGAUGCUUAGCCGACAAACCAUCCCAGCGCCCGGAGGAUAACAAUUUUUAAUAAAAGUGAAGACCUUCAGCUCUCAAGUAUUCCCUUCACUCAGCAAGUCUGGUCAAUCACCCUCCCUGCCUGCUCCACCCCAUUGGACACAUAAAAAUACUACUUAUCCAUUCCCUCCUCUGAACAUCCUGAAAAAACCAGAUUCUAUUACAGACAGAAUGCCUGAGUCCCCUCCCCUCCACUCCCUCCCCAUUCAUAUGUUAAAACCCUAACACCCAAUGUGUGUACUUAGAAAUGAGGAGGAGGUGAUAAAGGUUAAGUGAGGUCAUAGGGCAGGGCCUCAUAUGCUGGGUCAGGUGCCCAGAUAUGAGGAGGCAUUGACACAAUAGCUCUCUGCCCCAUGAGAACACAGGGAGAAGGCAGCCAUCUACAAGCCAGGAAGAGGGCUCUGACCAGGAACUGACCCAGGCUUGGGUCAGUUGAUUCAGACUUCCAGCCUCUGGAAUGUAAGAAAAUAAAUGUUUGUCAUUUAAGCCAUUCUGUAGUGCUUUGUUAUGGUGGCCCAAGCUGAUGAAUACAGCAUCCUAGAGUUGAAGGAGACCUCAGAGAGGGUUCGUUUAAAAUCUCUAUUUUGGGGGCACCUGGGUGGCUCAGUUGGUUGAACAACCAACCCUUGGUUUCUGCUCAGGUCAUGAUCUCAUGGUUGUGGGUUCAAGCCCCAAGCUGUGCUCUGCACUCAGUACAGAGUCUGCUUCAGAUUUUCUCUCUUUCUCUCUGCCCCUGCUCUGCUCUCUCUAAGACAGACAAAUAAAAUCUUUAAAAAAAUAAAAUCUCUAUUUUGAAAAUGAGGAAAUUGAGGUGAGAUGGAAUUUGGUGGAUGUCGUGCUGCCUUUAAGUGAUAGAGAACCAAAGCAUCGGAUUUCUUACCAUGCCAUACUACAUCUUAUAACCCCAGCUAUCUGUACCCACACCCUUCCGUGACAGGCUGUGCUACUCCUUUUAUUUCGAUGAGCCUCUGUUAUCCUCCUAAACAUGUUACAGGACAAGAUAAUACAGAUCUGAAGCAUUCAUCAAAACAUGAUUCCAAUCCAAAGCUUUUUAGGCCUGAAAACUCAAAUGUUUAAUGGAGACAGGCAGGUAAAUGUGCCAAGUGGCUGGGUAGAAAGCAAUAGGGAGUAGUGGGGAUUGUGGCAAAUGGGCAAGCAUAUACUGUAGAGCAUUUAAAUUCCAAUCUAAAAAAUUUUUGCUUUGUCCCUAACAAAACACAUCUGGCAUACAGGCUUCCCUUUUGCCAUCUCUAUCAGGGUAGGCCAAGCAAGGCCACCAAAAUAAAGAAAUUCUGAAAUCUCAGUGGCUUGUUACAAUAAAAGUCUAUUGCUCAUUCAUGUCACAUCCUGAUGUGGUUGGGGGUUGGGAGGGGCCCUGCUACACAGAUCUGGCUCCUUCCACCUUGGGGAACCAUCAUUCCAAUACAUGGCCUUCCAGAUUUUAGCAGAAGAGGAUGAGGGAGAGUGUGGAGGAAGCUGGUUCAAGGGCCAGGCUUAGAUGUGGUGUCCCUCAUUUCAGCCUUCACAUGGGAGAAGCCUGUGAGAGCCAGUCCCAUGGCUCCUCCUAGGAGUAGGGGAGCUGGAUGCAUAACCUUUUGAGGCAAGGGCAAACGUGAAGUGGUUUGUGAGCACAUAGCUCUGUUUCUGCUUUAGCUGCUCACAGAUGCGAUGCCACACUUCAUCACAUGUGAGUCUAUCAACCACCCCGGAGGCAGGAUGGUGACCUCACUUUACUGAUGACAGAACUGAGGACCAGAGAAGUCAAUCUACCUCUCCCAAUCACACAGCCACUAAAGGAAGGACAGAACUCCUGCUCUCCAGCCCCUCCAACCUGCUGUUCUUUAGUGCACUUCCCAGAGCCACUGAACCGGCAGAUGUCUAGCUCCUGGCUAGUCCACUGAAAAGGGGGGUUAUAUAGUGGUAAUACCAUCCCUCUAGCAGCAAGUGCAAAGCGCUUUUCCUAGCCAAAAGGUCCAAAAGCCAUCAGAGAUGUCAUGGCUGCUUCUUUGUGAGCUGAGGGUGGCUAGAUGUGGGGGGAGGAUGCUGGGAGUCAGAGCUGAGGGCUGGAAAGUCUUUGAAUGCCAUUGGGGGCCAUGCAGGCACCCCCAAUAGUUAAGAAGGAUUAACUUAGUGUCUACCCAUGUGCUGCCUGGUGUCCCUUGGUUCCAGGGACAGAGGUUCAGGUUUAUUUUUAAGAUUUUAUUUAUUUAUGAGAGACACACUGAGACACAGGCAGAGGGAGAAGCAGGCCUCUUGCAAGGAGCCCGAUGUGGGACUUGAUCCCGGGACUCCAGGAUCACGCCUUGGGCUGAAGGCCACACUAAACUGCUGAACCACCCGGGCUGCCUGAGGUUCAGGUUUAUAAAGCAGGAUGUGGGAUCCACACCAGGACAGCUAAGGAGAGGUGAAGAGAGUUGCUAGCGGAUUUAGGGGGUAUAGAAUGAGAAGUGCAGUCAAAAUGUAAACACUAAUUUGUAGGAUUUUGGUAGAGACAGACUCAGCACUGUGCUCUUCAGGCUGCUUGUUGAGAUGAACUGAGUCUCAUUCAGGGCAUCUCAACUCAGGAGAUGGAAAAUGUUACUUUAAGAACAUAUAUGACCUCAUGGGAUUGCAAAAGAGACAAACAAGCAGUCCAGUCAUGAGCACCCAGGCCAUGGUAACAGGCAGGCCCCACCGGUGGGCCUGGAGGCUUCUCCUGCUCCUGUAGGCCCUGCUCUCUGUGAUGCUCCACCUUCCUCCUCCUGCCCAUUGCCUGCACCGGGUCUGGUGUGCACACAGGGUGGCCCGUCGCCCCCUCAUUCAGCAGAAGCAGGUGGCAAAUUCCCUCUGUGAGAAACCCAGGUUGUGGUAAGCACUGUGUCUGAUGCGUCCACAUAAAGACAGAAACGUUAUUUUAGUGACAUCUUUAACAAUCCUGAGGCAUCUUUGGGGGAGGAGGGUGACAUAAGGAGAAAAUGGGUCACUGAUCUAAAGCUAAGUCUUAGUUUGAGGAGCAGGAGGGCCUGGGAACCUUCCUGAAGCUGUGGAAGAAAUAUGUGUACAGGAACAAGUAUGUUUUGUCCCCCCAAGGGAAGAUAUCCACAGUGUUUUCAUUACCCCCUCAGAGGGCUUUACACCUAAACAUGAUUAGGGACCCCAACCGCCAGGCACAAGGGUGCUCCCUAUGAGAUUGUUAAAUACAUGUUAAAUUGAUUUGUUUCUGAUUUGUAAAGCAGUCAAUGCUUCUGUGAGAACAGAGUGGAAUAGAAGGCUAGAUAGAAAAGCAGAAAACAAUUGCAUCUUCACUCUGCAGAAUCUGACUUUCAUUGAGCAUAG